UGACAGUACUCCUACGGGGAGGCAGCAGUGGGGGAAUAUUGCACAAUGGGCGCAAGCCUGAUGCAGCCAUGCCGCGUGUGUGAAGAAGGACCUUCGGGUUGUAAAGCACUUUCAGUCGUGAGGAAGGUAGUGUAGUUAAUAGCUGCAUUAUUUGACGUUAGCGACAGAAGAAGCACCGGCUAACUCCGUGCCAGCAGCCGCGGUAAUACGGAGGGUGCGAGCGUUAAUCGGAAUUACUGGGCGUAAAGCGCAUGCAGGUGGUUUGUUUAAGUCAGAUGUGAAAGACCCGGGGCUCAACCUCGGAAUAGCAUUUGAAACUGGCAGACUAGAGUACUGUAGAGGGGGGUAGGAAUUUCAGGUGUAGCGGUGAAAUGCGUAGAGAUCUGAAGGAAUACCGGUGGCGAAGGCGGCCCCCUCGGACAGAUACUGACACUCAGAUGCGAAAGCGUGGGGAGCAAACAGGAUUAGAUACCCUGGUAG
rnacentral:rRNA from 1 species